rnacentral:rRNA from 1 species
UACGUAGGGGGCAAGCGUUGUCCGGAAUCAUUGGGCGUAAAGCGUCCGCAGGUGGCAGUUCAAGUCUGCUGUCAAAGACUGGGGCUUAACCCUAGAAAGGCAGUGGAAACUGAACAGCUAGAGUGCGGUAGGGGUAGAGGGAAUUCCCGGUGUAGCGGUGAAAUGCGUAGAGAUCGGGAAGAACACCAGUGGCGAAAGCGCUCUGCUGGACCUGCACUGACACUGAGGGACGAAAGCUAGGGGAGCGAAUGGG